rnacentral:antisense_RNA from 1 species
GCUCCCGCGAGGUCAGAGCCGGGCUGUGCUGCUGCCCCCGGGACUAGAAAGGGAAAUCUCCUUGCUAGAGGAGGAAGCCCUAAGAACUCAAGGGAGAUAGGGGUAGCAGGGGCAUUUCCCUGGAUGCCUGGAGCAUGGAGGGUGCGAAAUAAGGAAGCUUUCCUACCCCGUUGAUGAGCUGAAGUUGAUUCCGCACGGGGAAGGAAAGGGACAGGAAGCAUAAUUGGAUGUGCAAGCCUGUGGUUCUUCAGGAAGUUAACACGUGGAACUAACACUGUUGGAUGCUGCUGAACUCUCAGAUGAUUGAUGUGACUAACCUCCUCUGAGAAAAAUCAUCAUUGACAUCCAACACCAGCACUGGAAUGUUCAUCAGAGCCUCAAAGUGGAGCCUACAAGAAGCAUGAACGUUUGGGGGGACAGAAAAAAAGAAAACUUGAGUCCAGUUUCACAUACUCACAAGUCUUACUCAGAGAACAGAUCUAAAUUCAACAUGACUUUUCAAAGAAACUGCAUGUAAACUGCAUUUAAAAAAACAAAUUCAAGAAAGUUGGCUGGAAACAG